UACGUAGGGGGCAAGCGUUGUCCGGAUUUAUUGGGCGUAAAGAGCUCGUAGGUGGUUCGGUAAGUCGGAUGUGAAAUCUCCAGGCUCAACCUGGAGGGGUCAUUCGAUACUGCCGUGACUAGAGGUCGGUAGGGGAGUGUGGAAUUCCUGGUGGAGCGGUGAAAUGCGCAGAUAUCAGGAGAAACACCCGUAGCGAAGGCGGCACUCUGGGCCGAUACUGACACUGAGGAGCGAAAGCGUGGGGAGCGAACAGG
rnacentral:rRNA from 1 species